rnacentral:tRNA from 1 species
GCGGGAGUAUUUCAACUUUUAGAAUACAUUCUUUCCCGGAAUGAGAUAUAGGUGCAAGUCCUAUCUUCCGCUCCA